rnacentral:rRNA from 1 species
AUUGAACGCUGGCGGCAGGCCUAACACAUGCAAGUCGAGCGGAUGAAGGGAGCUUGCUCCUGGAUUCAGCGGCGGACGGGUGAGUAAUGCCUAGGAAUCUGCCUGGUAGUGGGGGAUAACGUCCGGAAACGGGCGCUAAUACCGCAUACGUCCUGAGGGAGAAAGUGGGGGAUCUUCGGACCUCACGCUAUCAGAUGAGCCUAGGUCGGAUUAGCUAGUUGGUGGGGUAAAGGCCUACCAAGGCGACGAUCCGUAACUGGUCUGAGAGGAUGAUCAGUCACACUGGAACUGAGACACGGUCCAGACUCCUACGGGAGGCAGCAGUGGGGAAUAUUAGACAAUGGGCGAAAGCCUGAUCCAGCCAUGCGGCGUGUGUGAAGAAGGUCUUCGGAUUGUAAAGCACUUUAAGUUGGGAGGAAGGGCAGUAAGUUAAUACCUUGCUGUUGUGACGUUACCAACAGAAUAAGCACCGGCUAACUUCGUG